GCGAAAGUGGCGGAACUGGCAGACGCGCAGGACUCAGGAUCCUGUGGGGUAACACCCGUGGGGGUUCAACUCCCCCCUUUCGCAC
rnacentral:tRNA from 1 species